rnacentral:rRNA from 1 species
UACGGAGGAUCCGAGCGUUAUCCGGAUUUAUUGGGUUUAAAGGGUGCGUAGGCGGGAGAUUAAGUCGGUGGUGAAAUUUUGCAGCUCAACUGUAAAAGUGCCAUUGAUACUGGUUUCCUUGAGUGUGGAUGAAGUAGGCGGAAUUUGUGGUGUAGCGGUGAAAUGCAUAGAUAUCACGAGGAACUCCGAUUGCGCAGGCAGCUUACUAAACCAUAACUGACGCUCAGGCACGAAGGCGUGGGGAUCAAACAGGAUUAGAUACCCCGGUAGU